GACGAACGCUGGCGGCGUGCCAAAUACAUGCAAGUCGAGCGGACAGAUGGGAGCUUGCUCCCUGAUGUUAGCGGCGGACGGGUGAGUAACACGUGGGUAACCUGCCUGUAAGACUGGGAUAACUCCGGGAAACCGGGGCUAAUACCGGAUGGUUGUUUGAACCGCAUGGUUCAAACAUAAAAGGUGGCUUCGGCUACCACUUACAGAUGGACCCGCGGCGCAUUAGCUAGUUGGUGAGGUAACGGCUCACCAAGGCAACGAUGCGUAGCCGACCUGAGAGGGUGAUCGGCCACACUGGGACUGAGACACGGCCCAGACUCCUACGGGAGGCAGCAGUAGGGAAUCUUCCGCAAUGGACGAAAGUCUGACGGAGCAACGCCGCGUGAGUGAUGAAGGUUUUCGGAUCGUAAAGCUCUGUUGUUAGGGAAGAACAAGUACCGUUCAAAUAGGGCGGUACCUUGACGGUACCUAACCAGAAAGCCACGGCUAACUACGUGCCAGCAGCCGCCGUAA
rnacentral:rRNA from 1 species